rnacentral:rRNA from 1 species
GACGAACGCUGGCGGCGCGCUUAACACAUGCAAGUCGAGCGAAGCGGCGGACGGGUGAGUAACACGUGAGUAACCUGCCUUAGACAUUGGGACAGCCUCGGGAAACCGGGAUUGAUACAAAAUGGUCUAAGAUGGACUCGAGUCCCAUUAGCAAGUUGGUGAGGUAACGGGCCACCAAGGCGACGAUGGGUAGCCGGCCUGAGAGGGGUAACGGACACAUUGGAACUGAGAAACGGGCCAAACUCUACGGGAGGCAGCAGUGGUGAAUAUUGCACAAUGGAGGGAACUCUGAUGCAGCGACGCGGCGUGAACGAAGAAGGCUUUCGAGUCGUAAAGUUCUUUUAUAUGGGAAGCGGUACCAUAAGAAGAAGCCCCGGCUAACUACGUGCCAGCAGCCGCGGUAAUUC